UACGGGGGGGGGCAAGCGUUGUUCGGAAUUACUGGGCGUAAAGCGCACGUAGGCGGCUUGGUAUGUCGGGUGUGAAAUCCCCGGGCUCAACCUGGGAACUGCAUCCGAAACUGCCUUGCUCGAGUAUGGGAGAGGGAAGUGGAAUUUCCGGUGUAGCGGUGAAAUGCGUAGAUAUCGGAAGGAACAUCAGUGGCGAAGGCGACUUCCUGGACCAAUACUGACGCUCAGGUGCGAAAGCGUGGGGAGCAAACAGG
rnacentral:rRNA from 1 species